UGAGGAAUAUUGGUCAAUGGGCGCAAGCCUGAACCAGCCAUCCCGCGUGCAGGAUGAAGGCCCUAUGGGUCGUAAACUGCUUUUAUACACCAAGAAAAACACCCACGAGUGGGUGCCCGACGGUAGUGUAUGAAUAAGCAUCGGCUAACUCCGUGCCAGCAGCCGCGGUAAUACGGAGGAUGCAAGCGUUAUCCGGAUUCAUUGGGUUUAAAGGGUGCGUAGGCGGCUUUUUAAGUCAGUGGUGAAAUCUUGCCGCUUAACGGUAAAAUUGCCAUUGAUACUGAUAAGCUUGAGUACAAUUGAGGUAAGCGGAAUGUGUAGUGUAGCGGUGAAAUGCUUAGAUAUUACACAGAACACCGAUUGCGAAGGCAGCUUACUAAACUGUUACUGACGCUGAUGCACGAAAGCGUGGGGAGCGAACA
rnacentral:rRNA from 1 species